GUGCUUACUUCGGCAGCACAUACACUAAAAUUAGAAUGAUACAGAGAACAUCAGCAUGGCCCCUGCACAAGGAUGACUGGCAAAUUCAUGAAAUAUUCCUUAUUUUG
rnacentral:snRNA from 1 species